rfam:Stomoxys calcitrans breed 8C7A2A5H3J4 unplaced genomic scaffold Scaffold387, whole genome shotgun sequence.
AAAUUGGCUUUUAUUAAAGCCACUUCUUUAAUAAAAAAAACCUAA